CUCUCUCGCACUUCGGCCGCGCCUGCCUUUGGUUCAGUCCCCUGGUCUUUGGGAGGCAGGGGCCGUGUUAAGUGGAGCAGAUCGUUCCCGGCUGGGACGCCUUUGACCUUUAACUGUCCCUGAGUUAGCUGACUUUGGUCCUAAUGAGAAUGCUAACCGGUUUACCAGACUUUUAAUCAUGUGAGCUUGUGUUUGUGACACCCCAGUAUAGUUUUUGAAAACAGUUUGUUGUACCUUUUUGGUUUUCGGGAUGGGGAGUUUAGAGACUGUGUUUUAUUCAUUAAGUUGCUGUUUUCACAGUCCAUAGAAGUCGAGCCAAGAAAGGAAUUUGUGGUUAAUUAUAGACAGGGUUUGAAACUGUGUUUUCAUAGAUAGCUGAUAGAUACUUGUUAAUGAUACUGAAGGUUCACUAUGAGCCAAGCAAUUGUGCUAGCGUUUUGCCUGUACCUCAACUCAUCUUAACUUCAUAACAACCUCACUGAAUACGCAAGGUUGUGGAAAUAGGCUUUCUGAAGUCUGUGAUGUUUGUGUCAUUUGUCUGUGUUGACAUCCCUUGAUAUUCUUGCAGAAUACAUACUAAUAAUGAGCUGUAACUUUCUUCUUCUUUUUUAAUUUGGGGGCCAAUAUGGAACAUUUCACACAACAUGCUUACUUCAUACAGGCUCCACCCUUUUCUUUAAAUUGAAGUGUAGUUAACACAAUGUUACUUUAGUUUUUUUUUUUUUUUUAAGAUUUUAUUUAUUUAUUUGACAGAGAGCGAGAGAGGGAACACAAGCAGGGGGGAGUGGGAGAGGGAGAAGCAGGCUUCCCGCGGAGCAGGGAGCCCGAUGCGGGGCUCGAUGCGGGGCUCGAUCCCAGGACCCUGAGAUCAUGACCUGAGCGAAGGCAGACACUUAACGACUGAGCCACCCAGGCGCCCCAGUGUUACUUUAGUUUUAGGUAUACAACAGUGAUUUGACAACACGGUAUGUUACACGGCCUCCUUUUCAAUGUGGUUUAGUUUGGAGUAGCUUCAGAACAGCUUUGCAAAUGCAUUGUUGCAUUCAGGUGGAGUGACUGAGAUGAUUUCAUUCCAAGCAUUAAUAAGUGUGUUUAUUUGUAUUGAACUAGCAUAAGAUUGUACUCAAAGCUGUUUUUUGUUUCAACACUUUGGAGGAAUCUUAAGCUGCUUACAAGGAAAUUUAUUUAUUUUUAUUAUUUGUUUCCAAAGCUUUCCAGAACUUAAGAACCAUAAUUCGUAUUUUGGUUUUAAAGUCUGAAUGUAAAGUAUGUUCUGAAUUCCUGCACCAUUUAUUUGUAGUUGCAGUUCUAUAGGUUAGAGCUCAUGAAGUUAUCUUUCUAAAAUGUAUACUAAAAUAUAGAAGCACAUAUUCUUGACUCAGUUAAAAUCAUAUUUUUUAAAGGGGGGAGGGGCAGAGGGAGAGGGAGACUUUUUUCUUUUUUAAAGAUUUUACUUAUUUAUUUGAGAGAGAGAACGAGCGCACAAAGGGAGAGUGAGAGGGAGAAACAGACUCCCCUUUGAGCAGAGAGCUUGAUGUGGUACUUGAUCCCAGGACCCUGAGAUCAUGACCUGAGCUGAAGGCAGACACUUUAAGCGUUAGAGCCACCCAGGCACCUGAGAGAGAGUCUUUUUUUUUUUUUUAAGAUUUUAUUUAUUUAUUUGACAGAGAAACAGCGAGAGAGGGAACACAAGCAGGGGGAGUGGGAGAGGGAGAAGCAGGCUUCCCGCCGAGCAGGGAGCCCGAGGCGGGACUCGAUCUAGGACCCUGGGAUCAUGACCUGAGCUGAAGGCAGAUGCUCAACUGACUGAACCACCCAAGCGUCCCAAAGAUUUUAUUUAUUUGUCAGAGAGAGAGAGAGAGAGAGAGAGCUUGAGCACAAGCAGGGGGAAUGGUAGAUGGAGGGAGAAGCAGGCUCCCUGCUGAUCAAGGAACCCGAUGUGGGGCUCGAUUCCAGGACCCUGGGAUUACGACCUGAGCUGAAGGCAGACACUUAACCAACUGAGCCACUCAGGUGUCCCCUUUUUUCUUUUUAAAAAAAUAUGUGUAUUUAUUUACUUAAGUAAUCUUUACACCCAACGUGGGGCUCAAACUCACAACCCUGAGAUCAAGAGCUACAUGCUCUUCCAACUGAGCCAGCCAGGUGUCCCUCAGUUAAAAUCAUCUUAAAAGUGAAUUUAAACAAUGUUGCACUAAAUUGACACUCUUUAUGUCAGAAGUUGAAUGUAGAGUCCACUGCCAGUCUAUUAAAUCUGUUACACUGAAAAGCUUUUGUUUGCAUGUGGAUACAUGCUACAGUGUCGAUGGUAUUAAGGUUUUUCUGUACUACAUAGUAAUAGUAACAGUGUCCUUUAAAUAACCUAGAUGAUGGCUUUUUUGGGGGGAUGGAGGAAUAAAUUAUGUACUGAAAUUUAGUGCUUCUAUAGAUUUUUCCUUUUGAAGCUUUUGACUUGUCGUUGGUUUAUGUGACCAAGUGAUUUCAGUUUUUAAGAAACUAGUGAGAACAGCAACCAACUAGCAUUGGGUCCUAUAGAAUCCUAUGGUUUUAAACCUAAGAUUAAAAAAAAAAGUUAUUUCAAGGAUCACAUGAUUGAAUUAACCCAAGGUAGAAAUGUAAUCCUUUUGACAUAAGACGAUCUUAAAUUACUAUAAGCUGUUAUAUUAUUCUAACAACUUCUAGAGUUAAAGUCAGGCAUUUAUUAUUGUAUAGUUUGAAACAUCUAUUUGGGAUGAAUCUGUAUUCUAGCUUGGAGGAAGGAACUGAAUGAGAAAGCUGGAUUCCCCCCCACUCAUUAGGAGCUUUAAUUACUGCAAAGUAGUUUGAAUUUCAUAAAUUUGUUAAUAAUUAGUAAGCUUCACAUAGAACAAUUUUGUGGCUAGUUACAUGGUUUUGGGAAAGAGACAUACUUUCUUAAAAAUAACAUUGAAUAUGGUUAUCACUGUUAGCAACCUUAAAUUUCAUGUAAGAAAAAUUUGUCUGGCUAUCUGAGAAAUGGUCUCUGAGUUAGAAGGUCCUAAGAGAAAGACUCUAGAAGAAGGUAAUCGCUGCUAUAACUCCUUUAAUAAAUUGAAGUCCCUGUUUUAGAGAACACCGAUAGCUCGCUAUUAACUACUUCUGCACAUUUUCUAGGGGAUCCUUGAACAUCUGAAUUUGCUUCUCUGUUUCUCCAGAUCAAAUAGCUACAAGUUAAUUAUCAGUUGUUGUGAAUUGAAAGGUCAAUCCCAGUUGAAUAUGAGGGUUUUUGAAAUUAAGUAAGGAAAUUGUGAGUCAAAAAAAUUAUUUUCAGUAUGUUUUUAAGGAAAUGCAUCUGUGUCAAGUCAGGCACACUGUAAAUGGUUCUUGGAACAGCAAGAUUUAAAAAUCCGUUUUGUAAAUCCUUCCAUGCUAGGGCCCAUAUCCUAUUUUUUUCUCUUAUCAUCUGCUUUCUGUUACCACAUUUGAAAUGAUACAUUAGCUUUUUUUUUUUUUAAAGAUUUAUUUAUUUAUUUGACAGAGAGAGAGAUAGAGAGAGCAGGAACACAAGCAGCGGGAGUGGGAGAAGCAGGCUUCCCGCCAAGCAGGGAGCCCGAUUCGGGGCUCGAUCCCAGGACCCUGGGAUCAUGACCUGAGCUGAAGGCAGUCGCUUAACGACUGAGCCACCCAGGCGCCCUGAUACAUUAGCUUUUGCUUUGCAGCCAGUAUUUGAACUUUUUCCAUGUGCAGACAUGGUUUCUAUAGUGCAGGAAAAGGGGAUGUGACACGUGAUCAAAACAGAAGGCAGCAAUAAAGUGAAAUCAAAUAAGUGGAGUAGUAUUACAGUGAGUGCUGCAGCAGACCUGUGCAGACUGAAAUCCAUUGAACUCUUUGCUCCAGAGUAGAAGUUGUAACACGUUUCUAAAGCCCCCUUUCCCUACUGGCAGCCAUCAGUGGGAAAGGAGACCAGGUUUUGUAACCAAGACAGGUUUUGUAACCAGUGAGACACUCCCUGUAGUGCCUCACUGAGUAACAUUGUAACCAUGCUAUUCAGGAGAGGUGUGGAAAAAUGAAAAAUACCUUGUUAAGAUAUUUGAAGCAGGGGCGCUUGGGUGGCUCAGUCCUUAGGCGACUGCCUUCGGCUCAGGUCAUGAUCCCAGGGUCCUGGGAUUGAGCCCCGCAUUGGGCUCCCUGCUCAGCGGGAAGCCUGCUUUUCCCUCUCCCACUCCCCCUGCUUGUGUUCCUUCUCCCGCUUUGUCUCUCUAUGUCAAAUAAAUACAUAAAAUCUCAAAAAAAAAAAAAAAGAUUCUUUGAAGCAUAAGUAAGAGAUUAACCUUUAAAAAUUAAAUUUAUUCUGUAGUCACUGAGCUAUAUUUGCUAUCUCUCUAUGGCUUCUUAUGUUUCCAUGGCAUUUUAUACUUCUAUUUAUUUUAAGCAAAAUGUAGGCAAUUUUUGUUUUUUGUUAGGAAUUAGAUUCUCCCUGAAAGACAGUCUAUGUUUAUUUGUUUCUUCAAGGAAAUUAAAAAAAAUUUAUUUUUUUGGGGAGAGAGAGAGCACGUGUGCACACACACACCAGUGGGGGGUGGGGUAGGGCUGAGGCUGAGGGAGAGGGAGAGAGAGAAUCUCAAGCUCAGUGUGGAGCUCCAUGCGGGGCUCGAUCCCAGGACCCCGGGAUCAUGACCUGAGCUGAAGUCAGACGCUUAACCGACUGAGCCACCCAGGUGUCCCAGGAAAGAAUUAUUUUAAGACCACAGUGCUGGACACAGAUAGUGCUUGAGAAACAUUUGUUUGUUUAUUGAUUUGUCAUUUCAAAGGAACUGCAGAAGUAUUGGGGAAUGGUAAAAGAGACCUGAUUUUAAACUACUUUUAGGGUAGCUUUGGAACUUGGCCGUUCCUGAUGAACAGAAUUCAGUUCUUAGAAUUCAGAUUUUAAGAAGUAGAAAAUGCUAUAGGUUGAAAGAACUUCUUUGAUUUAUUUUAACAGAUGUUAACAAAAUUGGCAUUUUUAUGUCUACUCAUUUGUAAAAUAUGCAUGCUUGCUGAAUUCUGCAUUUCACAAAUAUUAGGUACUUCCUAAUUGCCAGAUACUAUUCUAGAUAGUGGGGGUAUGACUGAACAAAACAGAUAAAAAUAUUUAUUCUAAUGCCACUAGAUAGGUUAAAAAUACAGACUAUUAGAUUGUUUUAGCUGUUGCGGAAAAAAAUAAAACAAGAGGAUAGGAAGUAAGGAAGAAUGAGUGUUUUUCAAUUUUAGCUAGAGUGGUCAGGAAGGGCAUUUAGAAAGAUUUAAGCAGGGAGAGAAUUCCGGGAGAAUGAGCAUUGUAGGCAGAAGGGACAGUAAAUAUGAAUGCCCGAAAGCAUUUCUGACCAGCAUGUCUGUCCUGUUUCACAGAUAGCCCACAGGCCAGUGUGGCUGGGGCAGAGUGAAGGAGGGUAUCCACCUAGUAGGAGAGAAGAUCAGAUCCUGUAGGAUCUCCUAGGCAUUGGAUUCAGAGUUCAGGAGAUAGGGGAGGUACUCAUACCUUUUGAGUAGAGUCACUCAAAUCCAGUAAGAAUUUUCUCAUUGAUAUUUUAAUAUUUAAUAAACUAGGAAAAUAAGCCACAAAAACAUACAUUUCUCCAUGAGACUUGAAGUUCUUUUCAUUUUGAAUGGAAAAAAAAAAAUUACAACCUGGAAGUGUUUUGUUUUGUUUUUUUUUCAUUUUUAACAUACUGAGUUCUAGAACAAGUUUUCAAGAAGAUAGACUUCAAGGAAAUUAGAGCCAGGUUUUAGGGAAAAUUGGGAUUUAUACAUGUUCUCAGAUGGAUCCACCCUGGGGUCAUUGCAGUAGAGUGAGCUGGGCAAAAAGUGCCUUCCUUGGGACACAGGGCAGGAAGAACACGGGCACUGGGAGUGCUCAGAGAACUUUCAGGGAGGUAUUUGAGUGUUUUGGUUUUUUUGUUUUGUUUUUGUUCCCCCCCCGUGGGAAGAAGGUGUGGACUGGGGUGCAGAGGUGUGCUGGGAUGAUGAGGAUGCCAGGCUGACUGCCUGGAACAGGGAUUCUUCAAGGCAGUUUGGGUGUGAAAUAAAGUUGAAGAAACAGGUUAGGGCCAUUUAUUAAUUCACCAGAUACUUCUGUGUGCACACCUGGUACCAGAUGCUGGCUUAGGUGCUUGCAGUAAAUCUGAGCAAAUGAGACAAAGAUCCUUGUCCUUGUGGAACUUUUAUAAUUGAAUUAUAUAGUAUGCUAGGUGGUAAGCAUUAUGGAAAACAGAAAAGUAGGUCAGUGCACAUUUCUUAUCCCACUGACCUACUUUUCUGUUUUACAUAAUGCUGUUUUUAAAGAGGAUAUUGGGAGAGGCUCUGUUGAGAAGGGAUAUUUGAGUAAAACAUAAAGGAAGUGAUGGAGUUAGCCGGGUAGAAAUCUGAGGGAAGAGCAUAGCUGGCAGAGGGAACAGCCAGUGCAAAGUUCCUGAGUCCAGAGCCUGCCUGGCAUGUGUGAAGGCCACCACUGAGGCAGGUAUGAUUGGAGCAGUAGGUGAUGAGGUCAGAGUCAGUGAGAUCCUGGAGGAUUUUUUUUUUUUUUUAAUUUUAUUUAUUUGAGGGGGAGAGAGAGAGCAUGCGUGUGCGCAUGGGGGGUGAGGGGCUGAGGGAGAGGGAAGAAGACUUCGCUGAGCUGCGAGUCCGAUUUGGGGCUCGAUCUCAGGACCCUGAGCUAAUGACCUGAGCUGAAGGCAGACGCUUACCCGAUUGAGCCACCCAGGCGCCCCUUGGCUUUUAAUCUUAGUUGAAAAGGAUGCCCUUGGAAGGUUUUUGAGAGAGGAGUGAUCUGAUCUGGUUUUAAGUUUGAAAAAGUUUACUUUGGCUGCAGAUUUGGGAUAGUUUAAGGGUGGUGAGCGGAGGCAAGGGUAGAAGCAAAGGUAGGUAUUUUGGAUUGAGGUAGGCUUUGCAUGAUAAUGAAAACAAGAGCAUUACAAAAUUCAUGGUGUAUGCUAUUUCAGUAGCAGCUAAAUUAAUUAAUUUUCUUAGAUUUCUGCUGUAUCCUCAAGUGCUCACAGCUAGAAUUGAGAAUUUUUCUUUGCAUCUCAAUAUACUAAAAUAUUUAAGACUGAAUUCUUAAAUAAAAAUAGAUUACACAUCCUCAUGGUUCAAAACUCAAAAGGCACCAAAGAGGUAGCUGGUCAAAGUCUUCUUUCCACCCCAGCCACGCCGGGACAACCAGUGUCACCAGUUUCCUGCGCCUCUCUCCUGAAGCAUCUGUGAACACCUGGAAAAGGCUCUUGAUCCAUGUUUAGUAGUGCCCGGUUUGGCGAAACCAGAGUUUUUAUAAGGCAGUAGAGAGGUGUUUGAGGAAUGUAUUUUGCUAUGCCACUUCUGGAGGUAUUAAUAAUUAAGUUAGUAUCUCUUUCUGUGUAUUUCCUAUGUAACAUAUUUUUGUAAAUAAACACAACAAACAAAACAAAAUUGACUAAUAAGAACCCUAUAUUUUGGCCCGGGGGUUUGGGGGAGUGGGGGGGUGGGGACCUUUAGAUCACUUUCUCUGUCUUUGGCAGAGCUUCCUCUGAGCUCUUCAGUAGAAGGAUUACCAUAAAAACUCCAUUUCACCAGUCUUCCACUAGAACUUUCUUCUUAAUGAGUGCCUCUUGAAGAAAAUGUACAUACAGAAUUCUUUGACACUUUAAAUAGAGUUCCAGUAAAAAUCAGCAUGUGGUUUGAUGAUUCGGCAAAAUUCCUAAUAUCAGAGAAAGUUACUUCUAGAAAAAUAUUCUUAGCAAAUCAGCUUAACAAAUAUGAUUUCAGAAUAAUGUUGAAAUAACCUGAACAUUGCCUUCAAACUUAAGAAAAAAAUAAUUUCUCCUCAAUAAUCUUCAGUCUUCUAUAUUUCAUGCCAUUUCCUUUUGAACUUCCUUUUGUAGAAAUGAAUGCAGUCUCUGUUACAAGGGAGGGAUGAAGGUGGGGGGGGAAGCAGAGGUAAGAAUAAUUGUAACUGAGAAAUUAAAACUUGCAAGCCCCCCCCCCCCAGAGGUACUCAGACGUUUUGUUUGUGUAGCCCCUCCAAGAACAAAAAGCAUGUUAUGUUGGCGAACAUCUUGUUCAUUUAAGUUAACAUCAGAAAUAUUUCAUAGUAAAUUUAGACAGUUAAAAGGAUUUCACUCUUUGCUUAUGUGUAUUUUAUUAUUGCGUAUUUUUGUUAAAACCUUAAAGCUGUUUUUUCUUGUACAAUUCUUAGAAAAUGUUCAUCACAUACCCUAAUUGGCAAAGCCAGCCCUCAUUGUGAAGCCAAAUAGGCAAAGCCAACCUUAAUUCCUGAAAAGUUCAGUGCCAUUUUUCUGCUCAAAAAAUUGUUACAUAAACACUUUUAAUCCAGUCUCCCCCCCCACUUUUUUUUUUUUUUUUAAUUUAUGACUUGAUUUGACAAUCAUUGGUUAGUUCUCAUCCAUAUUGACUGUGGAUUUUUGUAAGUGGUAACAGGUACAUAGAUAACCAAUGUAUUAAGCUUGUUUGGUGAAUCUUCAUCCUCACUGUUCCCUGGACCCCCACACAUGGGUAUGCUGCGGGACGUUUCUCACUCCUUUGACUCAGACAGCUUUGUUGAGCCUGAUCUCAGUCUGCACGUGUGGAGUUCCAUCUUGUUCGUGGCUAAUUUCCAGAUUUUUUUUGAGUGCCUGAAGGGUAUGCUUCUUGAAGCCCAUUCCAUGAGUGCACUUGUAACUGUUGACAGUGUAUUUUCUGGUCACUACCUCACUGAUGGCAAAAGGCCCUUCUUCUCGCCAUCCUUCUUUGUAGGAGUCAUUCUGUCAGACCCAGGCUGGAAAGGUGUCUCACUUCUGAAUUUAAGUUAUUAGAUGAAUAGAUAGGUGAGGCUUGUAGCUGUGCCAGGAGUUUAUUACCUGAAUGCAAUAAAGUGCAACUCAAGUUCGUUAUUAUUCCUUUGUUUGCUGUCCCAGAAGUUAUUUUAUACCCCGGGGAAAUGCAUAAUUGUAAGAUUCAGGAAGUAAAGUGGGAGAAAUGAAGUUGUACGGGGUCUGGGAAGGGAAACUAGCCGAUGACCGUAAUUGUCAGAUCAGUUUUAGGAGAGGGUAUAUUGGUAGCUGAAGCUCUGUAAACCCUUCCCCUGACCCCAUCCGAACCUUCUGGAACGUCUUCUUUGUCUAUCUGAGGCUCAUGGGCUUUAGUUCAAAGACAGCUGCUCUAGCCUGUUUUACCCUGUCUUGAUGUUUGGUGGGCUAAGUGAAAAAGUUAGAAUAGCCCUUAUCUAUACUCCUUAGGAUAUUUAAUUUCUUCUUUAGUAGCUUUCAGGAAAGGUGGAAGAUGAAGAAAAUGCUACACAAGAACUGAGUGGUCUGUAAAAGGAUGGGCAGGGGAAGUCGCACAAGGUUGGCAGUGGGACGGAACACACAGAUUCUGCAGUGUUUCAGCAUGUGGUACCAGUGAUUUGUCAGUAGAGGGGACUGUGGCUCAUUAUAUAUAUAUUUAAUUAAUUAAUUAAUUUUUAAGUAAGCUCUAUGCCCAGUGUGGUGCUUGAAUUUGUGACUCUGAUAAAGUCACAUGCUCUACAGAAGGAGCCAGCCAGGCGCCCCUUCCACUACUUCACAUUCUUUUUUUUGGUAAAUUUUUUUUUAAAGAUUUUAUUUAUAUAUUUGAGAGAGAGAGAAUGAGAUAGAGAGCAUGAGAGGGGGGAGGGUCAGAGAGAGGCAGACUCCCCGCCGAGCAGGGAGCCCGACGUGGGACUCGAUCCCGGGACUCCAGGAUCAUGACCUGAGCCGAAGGCAGUCGCUUAACCAACUGAGCCACCCAGGUGCCCCCACUACUUCACAUUCUUAAAGACUUUGUGACCCACUCCACCCCCUAGGCUUUGAGUGUUGUAACAUUUAUUGUACUUAGGAGCAAAGAUAAGAUAGAUUCUUGGCUUAAAAAAAAAAAAAACUCCAAUGUUCAAAUUUAAUAAUUAAAACUAUAUGUUCCAGAAGAUCUACUUAAGCAUAUAUUCUUUUCAUAAAUUGAAAUGCUUAAAAAAUAGUAGUUAAGAAAUGAUAGAUAUUAUUUAUGAUCAGUAGCUAUGAAAAGUAGAAUUACUACUAAAACAAGACUUCUGGCCCUCAUGUGUGCCUGGAAAAUCCCCAAAUAACAGGAUUUAUGGGAAAAGAGCUAGAGCAGACCAUCAAAAUCAGUGCAACUUAGUCACCAAGCACUAACCAAAACAAUAAUUGGCAUCUUGGGGGAUAACUUGGAUAGCCCAGGCAGGCAGGCUGGAGGCUGCCUCAGGGGACAUUAAAAAUGUCUGGACCGAAUUGACUGGAAAUGCUUCGGUAGGGCAGAUGGUGUGGGCUGCCAUUGAGGAGGUGCAGGAGGGCUGUGCUGGUCAGGAGGUGUGCCUUUCUGGAGAGGGAGCCUGGCUGCAGAUGCUGACUGAAUUUUCUUAAGAUAGAGCUCAAAGGAUUCCUGUCUGUGCAGCAACCGAGCUAAAAGAUGUUUCUUGAAGAAGAUUAUAAUUCUCCCACUAAUCUGGCUCCCCUAAUUUAUGAAAAAUCCCAUAGGAAACAAUGCAGCUCCUAUGCUAUACUAGUGUGAGCUAGUAUGAUGUGAGCUAGCUGAUGUCGCAGAGAUGUAUUACAGCAGAACAGAUUAGAUUUCAGAACAGGCUGGGAUUCUCCCCCCUCCAUCUCCCCCGACCCUGGGGCUUCAAAUCUGCCUGAAAUUAAUAGACACUUUAAUUAUAAAGGUGCACAGUGAAACGUAGCCUUGGUGUCUCUGGACUCAGAGCUGCAAACCAGCUCCAGGACUGGUUCGGAGUUGAACAUGAUCAUUAGUGGUUUCAGCAGCAUGCUUUUUUGUUUGUUUAGUUUUUAAAGAGUUUGUCAUCAAAUUGUAGCUUCUAAAAUGAAUUUCUAUACUUUGGUAUAAUCAACACACUACAGAAAGGCUGGAGAAUGUGUUUUGCUUGCUAAACACUAACUUCUGAUGCUGAGGUGAUGUCCUUUAAUAUGACCCACAAAUACCAAAUUAGUUAAUAUAUACAGACUGUAACAGUAUCAAUAUCUUCUACUUGCUUUCAUUUUAAGUAUCAAGAGAUAGUUGAUAUGUUUGGUAACAAUAUACUUUCUUAAUACUUCUCUUGGUGAUGAUUUUUUUUUUUUUUACUAAGUUUUUAAUUUUAUUUGAGUAUAGUUAACAUACAGUGUUACAUUAGUUUCUGGCCUACAAUAUAGUGAUUCAGUAAUUCUACACAUUACUCAAUGCUCAUCAUGAUAAAUGUACUCAUUUUAAGAUUUUGUUUAUUUAUUGAGAGAGAGUGAGAGAGAGUGUGUGUGAUUGGGGGUGGGGGGGAGGGAGAGAGAAUCCCAAGCAGAUUCUGCUCUGAGCAUGGAGCCCGACGUGGGACUUGAUCGCAUGACCCCGAGACCACGACCUGAGCUGAAACCAAGAGUUGGCCAACUGAUUGAGCUGCCCAGGUGCCCCAAUAAAUGUACUCGUUAACCCCUAUCACCUAUUUCACCCAUCCCCCACCCACCUCCUCUCUGGUAACCAUCAGUUUGCUCUCUGUAGUUAAGGGUCUAUUUCUUGGUUUGUCUCUCUCCCCUUUUUUGUUACUCUCCUUUGCUCGUUUGAUUUCUUAAAUUCCACCAAUGAGUGAAAUCAUACAGUAUUUGUCUUUCUCUGAUUUGCUUAUUUCACUUAGCAUUAUACUCUCUAGCUCUACCCAUGUUGCAAAUGGCUAGAUUUCAUUCUUUUUUUUAUGGCUGAAUAAUAUUCCAUUAUAUAUGUGUGUGUGUGUGUGUAUGCAUACACACAUAUAUACGUACAUGUCCAUACACACACAUGCACAUACCCCACAUCUUCUUUAUCUGUUCAUCUGUCAAUGGACACUUGGGCUGCUUCCAGAAUUUGGCGAUUGUAAAUAAUGCUGCAGUAAAUGUAGGGGUGCAUAUAUCCCUUUGAAUUAGUGUUUUUAUAUUUUUUGGGUAAAUUCCCCGUAGUGCAAUUACUGUAUCAUAGGGUACUUCCAUUUUUAACUUUUUGAGGAAUCUCCAUACUGUCUUCCACAGUGGCUGUACCAGUUUGCAUUCCCACCAACGGUGCACAAGUGUUCCUGUUUCUCCACAUCCUCGCCAACACUUGUUUCUUGUGUUUUUGAUUUUAGCCAUUUUGACAGAUGUUGGAGAUACAAAAAAGAGAAGACAUUGUUCCUGUGCUCAAGAAGUUGAUAAUCUGGAUGAGAUUAUGAGAUACAUAAAAAAUAGAGAGAGAGAUCACGAGACCAGGAACACAAGCAGGGGGAGUGGGAGAGGGAGAAGCAGACUCCCCGCGGAGCAGGGAGCCCGAUGUGGGACUCGAUCCCAGGACCCUGGGAUCAUGACCUGAGCCGAAGGCAGACGCUCAACGACUGAGCCACCCAGAUUCCAUGCUGGUUUCCAUCGUGGGGAUGGCCCUGUACACGGGAUAUGUCUUCAUGCCUCAGCACAUCAUGGCAAUCCUGCACUACUUUGAGAUUGUGCAAUGACCAAGAUGUGACCAGAACUGAGCGGCUCCUUGGGGAAGAACCACCCUCUGAAGAUGGAAUGAAACCUCAUCAGCUGUCAUAAGAAACUCUACUAGAUGUCAACAUAACCAACCCUAUGAAUAUAAAGACUAAAAUUCAUGAGUAGAACAGGAAAAUACUCCUGACUCAUGUGUUGUGUUCUUUAUUUUUAAUUUUAAAAGAGGCUCUUAUAUAGUAGUUUUUGUCUAUUUUAACAUUGUAAUCAUUUGUACUUUGAUAUCAGUAUUUUCUUAACCUUUGUGACUGUUUCAAUAUUACCCUGUGAAAGCUUUUCUUAAUGUAAUUUUGAGUACAUUUUAAUUGCCUUCUAUUUCUAAAACCCAAAGUCAUUAGUUGGGCUUUACUGUUCUUGCUAUUGUAUGGCACAUACAUCUGCCUGGAUAUAUUUCUACUCUUGACCAAAGUUUUGUAAGAAACAAUACAAGAUUUGGGGCAGGGGGAUGGGGAGGGGAGGAUAUUUUAUUGAGAACUAUUUACAAAAGACUAUCUGUAAGUUUGAACUCAGGAGUACAGUUUUAGCUAUCUAGACUCUACUCUUAACAGCUUUUGCUUUAAAACUAUUUAAGUAUUUCUUAACAAUGAAAAAGAAAGAUCUUGCUAAAGUUAAAAUAAGGAACAUUUCACCUUUUAAAUAUUUAAUUCUUAUGUGGACUCAUUUCCAGAAAACUUUGGUGAUGGUUCUUAUGACAAAAGGUGGUUAAAUAGCAUUAUUAUGUAAUGCUUAUAUACCAUAGAGUUUUUAGUAGAAAGUAAAUCAGUUUCCUCUGAGGGUUAUUAGUAACAAUGUACUUCCUUAAAUUUAGUUUUCAUGAUUGUAAUGGGUGCUGCAAAUGCAUAUGCACAUUGCAAUAAGAUGAGAUGAAUUGUUAAAAACUAUAGCAAAAAGAAAUGUAAACUUGGUUAAAAUCCUUUCACUCUUUGUAUUUUUUUUUAAAGAUUUUUAUUCCUUAAAUGUAAAAUACCUAAUUUUUUGAUGUAAACUCAUUAAAUUCAAAGAAAAAUCA